AGUACUUGUUCUGAUAUUUUAUGUUCUGUAGUGAGUUUUCGGAUGGAGUCCAUGUUUUGUAAACUUGACAAAACGCACUAAAAAAUUGAAAAUUCUUGAU
rnacentral:lncRNA from 1 species